rnacentral:rRNA from 1 species
UUGAAUUUUAAUUUAAAGUCUAGCCUGCCCACUGAAAUUAAUUUUAAUGGCCGCAGUAUUUUGACUGUGCAAAGGUAGCAUAAUCAUUAGUUUUUUAAUUGAAAGCUUGUAUGAAAGGUUGGACGAGGUAAAAUCUGUCUCUAUUUAAUUUAUUUUAGAAUUUAAUUUUUAAGUUAAAAAGCUUAAAUUUUAUUAAAAGACGAGAAGACCCUAUAGAUCUUUAUAAUUUUUUUUAUAAAUUUAAUUAUGAAUUAUUUAGAAUUUAUAAUAUAAAUUAUUUUAUUGGGGUAAUAAAAAGAUUAAAAUAAUUCUUUUUUAUUUUUAACAUUAAUUUAUGAAUUUAAUGAUCCAAUUUUAUUGAUUAUAAGAUUAAGUUACCUUAGGGAUAACAGCGUAAUUUUUUUAGAGAGUUCAUAUCGAUAAAAAAGUUUGCGACCUCGAUGUUGGAUUAAAGAUUAGUUUAGGUGUAGAAGUUUAAAUUUUUGGUCUGUUCGACCAUUAAAUCUUUACAUGAUCUGAGUUCAGACCGGCGUAAGCCAGGUCGGUUUCUAUCUUUAAUAAUUUUAAAAUAUUUUAGUACGAAAGGACCAAAUAUUUAAUAUAUUUAUAUUUUAUUUUUUGAAUAUUAUUAAAUUGUUUUGGCAGAUUAGUGUAAUGAAUUUAGAAUUCAUAAAUGUAAUUAUUUUUACAAACAAUACUUGUUUUAUAUAGAUUUAAUUUUUUCUUUAAUUUGUAUAUUUUUAUUAAUUAUUUGUGUUUUAGUUGGGGUAGCAUUUUUAACUUUAUUAGAGCGAAAAGUUUU